CCGGUGGGCAGCACCCGGGUGCCGAGCCACGCUGGGGCCGGGGUGGCGGUCCCGGCGGUCGGGGUCGGCGCCGUCGGACUCGGCGCCGUCGGAC
rnacentral:tRNA from 1 species